rnacentral:rRNA from 1 species
AGAGUUUGAUCCUGGCUCAGGAUGAACGCUGGCGGCGUGCCUAACACAUGCAAGUCGAACGGACAAAGAUGAAACCUAGUGAUUCUUUGUUAGUGGCGGACGGGUGAGUAACGCGUGGGUAACCUGCCCUGUACCGGGGGAUAACACUUAGAAAUAGGUGCUAAUACCGCAUAAGCGCACGGAGAUGCAUGUCUUUGUGUGAAAAACUCUGGUGGUACAGGAUGGACCCGCGUCUGAUUAGCUGGUUGGUGAGGUAACGGCCCACCAAGGCGACGAUCAGUAGCCGGCCUGAGAGGGUGACCGGCCACAUUGGGACUGAGACACGGCCCAAACUCCUACGGGAGGCAGCAGUGGGGAAUAUUGCACAAUGGGGGAAACCCUGAUGCAGCAACGCCGCGUGAGUGAAGAAGUAUUUCGGUAUGUAAAGCUCUAUCAGCAGGAAAGAAAAUGACGGUACCUGACUAAGAAGCCCCGGCUAACUACGUGCCAGCAGCCGCGGUAAUACGUAGGGGGCAAGCGUUAUCCGGAUUUACUGGGUGUAAAGGGAGCGUAGACGGUAUGGCAAGUCUGAAGUGAAAGCCCGGGGCUCAACCCCGGGACUGCUUUGGAAACUGUCGCACUAGAGUGCGGGAGAGGUAAGUGGAAUUCCUAGUGUAGCGGUGAAAUGCGUAGAUAUUAGGAGGAACACCAGUGGCGAAGGCGGCUUACUGGACCGUAACUGACGUUGAGGCUCGAAAGCGUGGGGAGCAAACAGGAUUAGAUACCCUGGUAGUCCACGCUGUAAACGAUCAAUACUAGGUGUGCGGGGACUGACCCCCUGCGUGCCGCAGUUAACACAAUAAGUAUUGCACCUGGGGAGUACGAUCGCAAGGUUGAAACUCAAAGGAAUUGACGGGGGCCCGCACAAGCGGUGGAUUAUGUGGUUUAAUUCGAAGCAACGCGAAGAACCUUACCAGGGCUUGACAUCCUACUAACGAAGUAGAGAUACAUUAGGUGCCCUUCGGGGAAAGUAGAGACAGGUGGUGCAUGGUUGUCGUCAGCUCGUGUCGUGAGAUGUUGGGUUAAGUCCCGCAACGAGCGCAACCCCUAUUGUUAGUUGCUACGCAAGAGCACUCUAGCGAGACUGCCGUUGACAAAACGGAGGAAGGUGGGGACGACGUCAAAUCAUCAUGCCCCUUAUGACCAGGGCUACACACGUGCUACAAUGGCGUAAACAAAGGGAAGCGAAGGAGUGAUCCUGAGCAAAUCUCAAAAAUAACGUCUCAGUUCGGAUUGUAGUCUGCAACUCGACUACAUGAAGCUGGAAUCGCUAGUAAUCGCGAAUCAGAAUGUCGCGGUGAAUACGUUCCCGGGUCUUGCACACACCGCCCGUCA